AAGUCGUAACAAGGUUUCCGUAGGUGAACCUGCGGAAGGAUCAUUAACACGUAUCCAAACGUUAAAACCCCCCUGUGAACCUUCAGCCUGUUCUUGGUGGCCAUCAUCACAGCAAUCCCUAGUAAAUCAUUGUUGAACAGAUUUUGAGUUAGGGACUUCUGUCAGUACGCGGACAUGCCAAUUGAGCGGUAGAUAAAGCACCCUGGUGCCCCCAAGCAAUCAUUGUCUGAAAGUGUCAGUGAUUGUGUAAGGGUGACGCAGUCAACGAUCGCUGUAGGUCCACACGACCGGCGACCGGGGUGGUGGCGAAAGCCCCUGUUGCACACCGAUGUACUUACUGGGCCCGGGGGAAACCCUGAUUGCCCACCCAAUUGAACAACUGUUAACAAUGGAUAUCUUGGUUCUC
rnacentral:misc_RNA from 1 species